rnacentral:rRNA from 1 species
UACGUAGGGUGCAAGCGUUAAUCGGAAUUACUGGGCGUAAAGCGUGCGCAGGCGGUUAUGCAAGACAGAGGUGAAAUCCCCGGGCUCAACCUGGGAACUGCCUUUGUGACUGCAUAGCUAGAGUACGGUAGAGGGGGAUGGAAUUCCGCGUGUAGCAGUGAAAUGCGUAGAUAUGUGGAGGAACACCGAUGGCGAAGGCAGCCCCCUGGGCCGAUACUGACGCUCAUGCACGAAAGCGUGGGGAGCAAACAGG